rnacentral:tRNA from 1 species
GGUGAAAUAGUUCAGUUGGUUAGAAUGUUGGAAUCAUAAUCCAAAUGUCAAGGGUUCGAGUCUCUUUUUCACUA